rnacentral:rRNA from 1 species
UAGGGAAUCUUCUGCAAUGGACGAAAGUCUGACCGAGCAACGCCGCGUGUGUGAAGAAGGUUUUCUGAUCGUAAAACUCUGUUGUUAGAGAAGAACAAGGACGUUAGUAACUGAACGUCCCCUGACGGUAUCUAACCAGAAAGCCACGGCUAACUACGUGCCAGCAGCCGCGGUAAUACGUAGGUGGCAAGCGUUGUCCGGAUUUAUUGGGCGUAACGCGAGCGCAGGCGGUUUCUUAAGUCUGAUGUGAAAGCCCCCGGCUCAACCGGGGAGGGUCAUUGGAAAGUGGGAGACUAGAGUGCAGAAGAGGAGAGUGGAAUUCCAUGUGUAGCGGUGAAAUGCGUAGAUAUAUGGAGGAACAGAAGUGGCGAAGGCGGCUCUCUGGUCUGUAACUGACGCUGAGGCUAGAAAGCGUGGGGAGAAAACAGG